CCUACGGGAGACAGCAGUGGGGGAUAUUGCACAAUUGGGGGAACCCUGAUGCAGCGACGCCGCGUGGGUGAAGAAGCGCCUCGGCGCGUAAAGCCCUGUCAGCAGGGAAGAAAAUGACGGUACCUGAAGAAGAAGCCCCGGCUAACUACGUGCCAGCAGCCGCGGUAAUACGUAGGGGGCAAGCGUUAUCCGGAUUUACUGGGUGGAAAGGGGGCGCAGACGGCGAUGCAAGCCAGGAGUGAAAGCCCGGGGCCCAACCCCGGGACUGCUCUUGGAACUGCGUGGCUGGAGUGCAGGAGGGGCAGGCGGAAUUCCUGGUGUAGCGGUGAAAUGCGUAGAUAUCAGGAGGAACACCGGUGGCGAAGGCGGCCUGCUGGACUGCAACUGACGUUGAGGCCCGAAAGCGUGGGGAGCAAACAGGAUUAGAUACCCGAGUAGUC
rnacentral:rRNA from 1 species